UUGAUCCUGGCUCAGAAUCAACGCUGGCGGCGUGCCUAACGCAUGCAAGUCGAACGCGAAAGUCCCGCAAGGGAUCAGUAGAGUGGCAAACGGGUGAGUUACACGUGGGUGACCUGCCUUCGAGUGGGGGAUAACGUCCCGAAAGGGACUCUAAUACCGCAUGACAUCCUGCCUUUUAAGAGGUGGAGCUUAAAGCUGGUGAUCGCAAGACCUAGCGCUUGAAGAGGGGCCCGCGCCUGAUUAGCUAGUUGGUGGGGUAACGGCUCACCAAGGCAACGAUCAGUAUCCGGCCUGAGAGGUCGGACGGACACACUGGGACUGAGACACGGCCCAGACUCCUACGGGAGGCUGCAGUGGGGAAUUGUUCGCAAUGGGCGCAAGCCUGACGACGCAACGCCGUGUGGAGGAUGAAGACCUUCGGGUCGUAAACUCCUUUCGAUCGAGACGAAUGGCUUCCGGGUGAACAAUCCGGAAGAGUGACGGUACCGAGAGAAGAAGCUCCGGCUAACUCCGUGCCAGCAGCCGCGGUAAUAAGGU
rnacentral:rRNA from 1 species